GCCCCCUCCCAGGGUCUAUCAUGGAUUGACCCAGACACGUGGCAUUCUCAGACAACCUGUUUGCAAUCAUGAAAUUGGGAUGAGCUGAAAGAGAAGGUCUAGCAAGUGUCUGGGAAGGAGGAUCAAACCCUGAAUCUUCCUGAGGAUUCAGCUUUCCACGCCAAAUUCUGCACUGAGUCUUUUUAUAGGAGAAGUGAGCUUCUAACCCACAUCUGUCUUUCCCAGCUACUCCGUGCUAAGCAAGAAGAGGGUCAACAAAGCGUGCGGUUGGGGAUGGGACUGACCCUCCGACGCCGGCAUCCUCCACUGGGACUCAGCGCUGGAAGAGAAGCCCAGAGGCACGGGGUAGCUAGCGCACGGCAUCAGAUGACUGCUGAGAAAAGCAAGGACCGGGAGAUCUACCUCAGAUACUGCCGGUUACAUCUGGAGUGUUUCAGUGGCUCACACAACAGCAGCAGCAGCUUGUCACUGUGGCCACCACCUUCCAGGACCAGGACCUCUUUCUGAGGCAUGAUUAAUGAAUCCUAAUUUGACAUGGACUCAACACCCGCCACGACUGCCUCUUCUACCCUGUAAUUGCAGAUCUUCAUUUACACUUAUAUUUUUAGAGGUUCUUCUCCCGUUUUUGUACCUCCAAACCUGGCACUCCAUCCUCCUGUUGUAAAACACUCCCUAAACCCACAACUGGUCUAAUAACGCAUGACCCUUCAUGUUUAGAUAACGACCAUUCCCAUCAGUCUAUCCAAAAGAGGCCUCAAAAUGAAAUUUUCAGCACCGAGUGCCAGAGUAAGGCGGAUGCCGGCUGUUCAGGACCUCUGCUUACAUUGUCCAAAACUCUUAGUGGAACAGGUUAUGGGUGCCAUCUAAUUCUUGUUUUCUCAUGUAAAGCCUUAUAAAACCAGACCAAUGUAAACUUUCAAGGCCAUACAGAAGAAACUAACAUCUUUCCAGGCACCAACCUAUGUCAGAUCACUUUGAACACACAAGUCCCGUGGCAUUCUGAGAAAAGCAAGCUACCGAUCUCCUGACAUCAGCAGGAGAGUUUCAACUAUGCCCAUAGCAGAUGUAUGGAAAACUCCAAACACUUGGCCAAGUUUCAUGAAAAUAACUCAAGGUAACAUACAAUUCUUUCACUAGGAGCCAUGUCAAUAUGUUGUAUUCUGGGCACCCGGUUAGUCAGAGCCUGGUCAGGCAUCCAGACUGCUGCCACAUUAAAAAUGC